CUUGGUCAUUUAGAGGAAGUAAAAGUCGUAACAAGGUUUCCGUAGGUGAACCUGCGGAAGGAUCAUUAAAGAGACGUUGCCCUUCGGGGUAUACCUCCCACCCUUUGUUUAUUAUACCUUUGUUGCUUUGGCGGGCCCGUCCUCGGACCACCGGCUUCGGCUGGUCAGCGCCCGCCAGAGGACCUAAAACUCUGUUUGUUCAUAUUGUCUGAGUACUAUAUAAUAGUUAAAACUUUCAACAACGGAUCUCUUGGUUCUGGCAUCGAUGAAGAACGCAGCGAAAUGCGAUAAGUAAUGUGAAUUGCAGAAUUCAGUGAAUCAUCGAAUCUUUGAACGCACAUUGCGCCCCCUGGUAUUCCGGGGGGCAUGCCUGUUCGAGCGUCAUUACAACCCUCAAGCUCUGCUUGGUAUUGGGCUCUGCCGGUCCCGGCAGGCCUUAAAAUCAGUGGCGGUGCCAUUCGGCUUCAAGCGUAGUAAUUCUUCUCGCUUUGGAGGCCCGGGUGUGUGCUUGCCAGCAACCCCCAAUUUUUUCAGGUUGACCUCGGAUCAGGUAGGGAUACCCGCUGAACUUAAGCAUAUCAAUAAGCGGAGGAAAAGAAACCAACAGGGAUUGCCUCAGUAGCGGCGAGUGAAGCGGCAAAAGCUCAGAUUUGAAAUCAGGUGCGUCUUCGCGCCCGAGUUGUAAUCUGGAGAGGAUGCUCCGGCGAAACCGGCCGCCCAAGUUCCUUGGAACAGGACGUCUUAGAGGGUGAGAACCCCGUACCCGGCGGCAUGGCUAGCCAUGUGGAGCUCCCUCGACGAGUCGAGUUGUUUGGGAAU
rnacentral:sRNA from 1 species